rnacentral:rRNA from 1 species
GACGAACGCUGGCGGCGUGCCUAAUACAUGCAAGUUGAGCGCUGAAGGUUGGUACUUGUACCAACUGGAUGAGCAGCGAACGGGUGAGUAACGCGUGGGUAAUCUGCCUUUGAGCGGGGGACAACAUUGGGAAACGAAUGCUAAUACCGCAUAAAAACUUUAAACACAAGUUUUAAGUUUGAAAGAUGCAAUUGCAUCACUCAAAGAUGAUCCCGCGUUGUAUUAGCUAGUUGGUGAGGUAAAGGCUCACCCAGGCGAUGAUACAUAGCCGACCUGAGAGGGUGAUCGGCCACAUUGGGACUGAGACACGGCUCAAACUCCUACGGGAGGCAGCAGUAGGGAAUCUUCGGCAAUAGACGAAAGUCUGACCGAGCAACGCCGCGUGAGUGAAGAAGGUUUUCGGAUCGUAAAACUCUGUUGGUAGAGAAGAACGUUGGUGAGAGUGGAAAGCUCAUCAAGUGACGGUAACUAACCAGAAAGGGACGGCUAACUACGUG